AGAGUUUGAUCAUGGCUCAGGAUGAACGCUGGCGGCGUGCUUAACACAUGCAAGUCGAACGUGAGGGGAUAGCAAUAUUCUUGAAAGUGGCGCACGGGUGAGUAAUACGUAGGUAACCUGCCCUGGAUGGGGGAUAACAACUGGAAACGGUUGCUAAUACCGCAUGAAGCCAAGACACUGGGAAAGUGACUUGGUAAAAACUCUGGUGCUUCAGGAGGGGCCUACGGCCGAUUAGCUAGUUGGCGGGGUAAGAGCCCACCAAGGCAGUGAUCGGUAGCUGGUCUGAGAGGACGAUCAGCCACACGGGAACUGAGACACGGUCCCGACUCCUACGGGGGGCAGCAGUGAGGAAUAUUGGGCAAUGGGCGGAAGCCUGACCCAGCAACGCCGCGUGGAGGAAGACGGCCUUCGGGUUGUAAACUACCUUUACGGGGGAAGAGGAAGGACGGUACCCCGAGAAUAAGUCACGGCUAACUACGUG
rnacentral:rRNA from 1 species